rnacentral:rRNA from 1 species
CACGUAGGGCGCAAGCGUUGUCCGGAAUUAUUGGGCGUAAAGAGCUCGUAGGCGGUCUGUUGCGUCCGCUGUGAAAACCCGGGGCUUAACCCUGGGCUGGCAGUGGAUACGGACAGACUAGAGGUAGGUAGGGGAGAAUGGAAUUCCCGGUGUAGCGGUGAAAUGCGCAGAUAUCGGGAGGAACACCGGUGGCGAAGGCGGUUCUCUGGGCCGAUAUCGACGCUGAGGAGCGAAAGCGUGGGGAGCGAACAGG